GGCCGGUUGGCGCAAUGGUAGCGCGUCAGUUUUCGGAGAUAGUUUCUGAUACACUGAAGGUUGCGGGUUCGAUCCCCGUGCUGGUCG